CCUACGGGAGACAGCAGUGAGGAAUAUUGGUCAAUGGACGCAAGCCUGAACCAGCCAUGCCGCGUGAAGGAUGACGGCCCUAUGAGUUGUAAACUGCUUUUGUAAGAGGGUAAAAUCAGGUACGUGUGCCGGGUUGAAAGUACCGUAUGAAUAAGGAUCGGCUAACUCCGUGCCAGCAGCCGCGGUAAUACGGAGGAUCCGAGCGUUAUCCGGAUUUAUUGGGGUUAAAGGGUGCGUAGGCGGUUUGUUAAGUCAGAGGUGAAAUGUCGGGGCUCAACCGCGAAACUGCAUCUAAUACUGGAUGUCUAGAGUAUAGUUGAGGUAGGCGGAAUGUGUGGUGUAGCGGUGAAAUGCUUAGAGAUCAUGCAGAACACCGAUUGCGAAGGCAGCUUACUAAACUAUCACUGACGUUGAGGCACGAAAGUGUGGGUAGCAAACAGGAUUAGAUACCCCGGUAGUC
rnacentral:rRNA from 1 species